GCCAUUGCUUUUGAUUGCUGUCGUCCCUACACUUCGAUGCUUCUGAAGACUUUUAAAUCUACAGUUUUUUUUUUAUGAUAGUGGAAUUUUCUGUUUAAUUUGCUUUGUUGAUUAAGCUUGUGUAAAGCACUUUCAAUUGCCUUUGUGUCUAAAUUGUGCUAUAUAAAGAAAUUGCCUUGCCUAUUUUCUAAAUUAUGAAUGGGGUUCCAUCUUGGAAAACGUAUCCAGUUCCCUUACAACGUGGUAUCAUGACUUUGCGUAAACAUACACGGCGACUUUCUUAAGCCAAGUGGCGUGUUAUCUGUACACAUUUUGAGCUAUCCGCGUGUAUGUCUACGCUGUAUACAGGGAACGUAAACAUACAUGCCACUUCAGGAAAAGAAAAACCGGUUGGGUUUAGGAAAA